UACAGAGGUCCCAAGCGUUGUUCGGAUUCACUGGGCGUAAAGGGUGCGUAGGCGGUGAGGUAAGUCUGACGUGAAAUCUCCGGGCUCAACCCGGAAACUGCGUUGGAUACUAUCUCGCUAGAGGAAUGGAGGGGAGACUGGAAUACUUGGUGUAGCAGUGAAAUGCGUAGAUAUCAAGUGGAACACCAGUGGCGAAGGCGAGUCUCUGGACAUUUCCUGACGCUGAGGCACGAAAGCCAGGGGAGCAAACGGG
rnacentral:rRNA from 1 species